rnacentral:lncRNA from 1 species
CUCAAAUUCCAGUGCAGGUUUUGGUGAAACUGUAAUUCACCCGGCAGUCCGGUCAACAGCGGAGAAAAAUUUCACUUUGUCACACUGUGUGACUCAGAAGACAGUGAUCAAGUGCAAUCUUGACAGAAAAACUGGUAAUAAAAACAGCCACUCUGGGAACGGAAGAACGGAGCAGAGUAACACCCAGAAAAGUCAGGUUUGAUCAGAGACCUGGAGAAAUGGAGGGAAGCAGGAAAGUGCAACCAGGCAGAAGCAUCAGGACUGUGAACCGUCAAGAGGUGGGUUGGUGCACAGUCGCGGAGAACCUUCAUCCAGCAGCUGUUCGAAGCAGAAACAGGCACCCACAGCUAAGCACUGAACCAUACUCCUGGAAUCCAGUUGCCGAGAGGGAGGAGGGAUGACCAAAAGAGCAAAGACGGUGCUGGAGAGGCCUGAAGAAACAGUUGACCUGACCUAGUGAGAGCAUGGAGACCCUAGUCAUAAAGCUGGGGAAACAGCAUUGGACCAAACCAAGCCCUCUAAAUGUGGGUGCCAGCUACGAGGCCAAGACAGUCUAUGGGACCUCUAACAGUGGAGCCAGUCUUUAACCCUAGAGCACAAUGGACUUGGAGCCCAUUCCCUAUGGAGGGAUACUAUUGCAGCCCAGAUACAGCAAGGAGGGCCUAGGCCCUCCCCCAAAUGAUAUGCCAGACUUUGAAGGUCCCCUGUGGAUGAUCU